rnacentral:ncRNA from 1 species
CCUAGUCUUUACCUAUAGAGUAAGACUGGGCCACAAGCCAAUUAAUAGUGCCUUUAAAUUUUUAGAAGUCAUAAAAUUCAAUUACAACAAUUAGUAGUUAUGAUAUGAAUGUGAAAAUUGAAGUAGUGGUGAUUUACUUUUAAUUAAUUGGCUAAUGCCU